rnacentral:rRNA from 1 species
UACGUAGGGUGCAAGCGUUAAUCGGAAUUACUGGGCGUAAAGCGUGCGCAGGCGGUUUUGUAAGGCAGAUGUGAAAUCCCCGGGCUUAACCUGGGAAUGGCAUUUGGGACUGCAAGGCUUGAGUUUGGCAGAGGAGACUGGAAUUCCUGGUGUAGCAGUGAAAUGCGUAGAUAUCAGGAGGAAUACCGAUGGCGAAGGCAGGUCUCUGGGCUAGAACUGACGCUCAUGCACGAAAGCGUGGGGAGCAAACAGG